rnacentral:rRNA from 1 species
GGCUCACCUAGGCGACGAUCCCUAGCUGGUCUGAGAGGAUGACCAGCCACACUGGAACUGAGACACGGUCCAGACUCCUACGGGAGGCAGCAGUGGGGAAUAUUGCACAAUGGGCGCAAGCCUGAUGCAGCCAUGCCGCGUGUGUGAAGAAGGCCUUCGGGUUGUAAAGCACUUUCAGCGGGGAGGAAGGCGAUAAGGUUAAUAACCUUGUCGAUUGACGUUACCCGCAGAAGAAGCACCGGCUAACUCCGUGCCAGCAGCCGCGGUAAUACGGAGGGUGCAAGCGUUAAUCGGAAUUACUGGGCGUAAAGCGCACGCAGGCGGUCUGUCAAGUCGGAUGUGAAAUCCCCGGGCUCAACCUGGGAACUGCAUUCGAAACUGGCAGGCUAGAGUCUUGUAGAGGGGGGUAGAAUUCCAGGUGUAGCGGUGAAAUGCGUAGAGAUCUGGAGGAAUACCGGUGGCGAAGGCGGCCCCCUGGACAAAGACUGACGCUCAGGUGCGAAAGCGUGGGGAGCAAACAGGAUUAGAUACCCUGGUAGUCCACGCCGUAAACGAUGUCGAUUUGGAGGUUGUGCCCUUGAGGCGUGGCUUCCGGAGCUAACGCGUUAAAUCGACCGCCUGGGGAGUACGGCCGCAAGGUUAAAACUCAAAUGAAUUGACGGGGGCCCGCACAAGCGGUGGAGCAUGUGGUUUAAUUCGAUGCAACGCGAAGAACCUUACCUGGUCUUGACAUCCACAGAACUUUCCAGAGAUGGAUUGGUGCCUUCGGGAACUGUGAGACAGGUGCUGCAUGGCUGUCGUCAGCUCGUGUUGUGAAAUGUUGGGUUAAGUCCCGCAACGAGCGCAACCCUUAUCCUUUGUUGCCAGCGGUCCGGCCGGGAACUCAAAGGAGACUGCCAGUGAUAAACUGGAGGAAGGUGGGGAUGACGUCAAGUCAUCAUGGCCCUUACGACCAGGGCUACACACGUGCUACAAUGGCAUAUACAAAGAGAAGCGACCUCGCGAGAGCAAGCGGACCUCAUAAAGUAUGUCGUAGUCCGGAUUGGAGUCUGCAACUCGACUCCAUGAAGUCGGAAUCGCUAGUAAUCGUAGAUCAGAAUGCUACGGUGAAUACGUUCCCGGGCCUUGUACACACCGCCCGUCACACCAUGGGAGUGGGUUGCAAAAGAAGUAGGUAGCUUAACCUUCGGGAGGGCGCUUACCACUUUGUGAUUCAUGACUGGGGUGAAGUCGUAACAAGGUAACCGUAGGGGAACCUGCGGUUGGAUCACCU